GAUGAACGCUGGCGGCGUGCCUAAUACAUGCAAGUCGAGCGAAUGGAUUGAGAGCUUGCUCUUAUGAAGUUAGCGGCGGACGGGUGAGUAACACGUGGGUAACCUGCCCAUAAGACUGGGAUAACUCCGGGAAACCGGGGCUAAUACCGGAUAACAUUUUGAACCGCAUGGUUCGAAAUUGAAAGGCGGCUUCGGCUGUCACUUAUGGAUGGACCCGCGUCGCAUUAGCUAGUUGGUGAGGUAACGGCUCACCAAGGCAACGAUGCGUAGCCGACCUGAGAGGGUGAUCGGCCACGCUGGGACGGAGACACGGCCCAGACUCCUACGGGAGGCAGCAGUAGGGAAUCUUCCGCAAUGGACGAAAGUCUGACGGAGCAACGCCGCGUGAGUGAUGAAGGCUUUCGGGUCGUAAAACUCUGUUGUUAGGGAAGAACAAGUGCUAGUUGAAUAAGCUGGCACCUUGACGGUACCUAACCAGAAAGCCCCGGCUAACUACGUGCCAGUCGCCGCGGUAA
rnacentral:rRNA from 1 species